rnacentral:rRNA from 1 species
CUCCAGUGCGCUGCUAUACAUGCAAGUCGAGCGGACAGAUGGGAGCUUGCUCCCUGAUGUUAGCGGCGGACGGGUGAGUAACACGUGGGUAACCUGCCUGUAAGACUGGGAUAACUCCGGGAAACCGGGGCUAAUACCGGAUGCUUGUUUGAACCGCAUGGUUCAAACAUAAAAGGUGGCUUCGGCUACCACUUACAGAUGGACCCGCGGCGCAUUAGCUAGUUGGUGAGGUAACGGCUCACCAAGGCAACGAUGCGUAGCCGACCUGAGAGGGUGAUCGGCCACACUGGGACUGAGACACGGCCCAGACUCCUACGGGAGGCAGCAGUAGGGAAUCUUCCGCAAUGGACGAAAGUCUGACGGAGCAACGCCGCGUGAGUGAUGAAGGUUUUCGGAUCGUAAAGCUCUGUUGUUAGGGAAGAACAAGUACCGUUCGAAUAGGGCGGUACCUUGACGGUACCUAACCAGAAAGCCACGGCUAACUACGUGCCAGCAGCCGCGGUAAUACGUAGGUGGCAAGCGUUGUCCGGAAUUAUUGGGCGUAAAGGGCUCGCAGGCGGUUUCUUAAGUCUGAUGUGAAAGCCCCCGGCUCAACCGGGGAGGGUCAUUGGAAACUGGGGAACUUGAGUGCAGAAGAGGAGAGUGGAAUUCCACGUGUAGCGGUGAAAUGCGUAGAGAUGUGGAGGAACACCAGUGGCGAAGGCGACUCUCUGGUCU